UUGAAAACGAGCAAAGUAAAAGAAGCGCAAAUGAAAAACAACCGUGGGAGGAGAAGGAAAAGGGCGAAGCUUCAUGCAGUGAGAGUGGACUAAAAGGGAGAUAGGUAGAUAGACCAUGCUAAAGCAAAAUCAUUGAAUGAAUUUCUAUAAAAAUACGUUUGAAGUGGGUUUGUAUUAAAGAAGCCAAAACAUUUCAUGUGUGUGUGUAUGGAGUGAUUAAAACUUGGAAUAAAUUUGGUUUGGAACACAAUUUUCAACUUUUUGUUUUUAAUAAAUGCAUGUUGGGUUUUU